CACGUGAGUGACCUGCCUUUUAGACUGGAACAACUUACCGAAAGGUGAGCUAAUGCCGGAUGAGUUAUAUAAGUGCAUGUUUAUAUAGGAAAAGUUGGGGAGACCUGACGCUGAAAGAUGGACUCGCGUCCCAUUAGCUAGUUGGUAGGGUAAUGGCCUACCAAGGCGACGAUGGGUAGCCGGCCUGAGAGGGUGGCCGGCCACACUGGGACUGAGACACGGCCCAGACUCCUACGGGAGGCAGCAGUGGGGAAUUUUGCGCAAUGCUCGUAAGAGUGACGCAGCGACGCCGCGUGAAUGACGAAGGCCUUCGGGUCGUAAAGUUCUUUCGACAGGGAAGAAAAUGCCUAUAAGUAACUGUGUAUGUAUUGACGGUACCUGUAUAAGCAGCCCCGGCUAACUCCGUGCCAGCAGCCGCGGUAAUACGGAGGGGGCGAGCGUUGUUCGGAGUGACUGGGCGUAAAGAGCACGUAGGCGGUGUUGUAAGUCAUUAGUCAAAGACUAGAGCUCAACUUUAGUAAGGCUAGUGAUACUAUAAUACUAGAGUAUCAGAGAGGAUUGCAGAAUUCCUGGUGUAGCGGUGAAAUGCGUAGAUAUCAGGAGGAAUACCGUUAGCGAAGGCGGCAAUCUGGCUGGAAACUGACGCUGAGGUGCGAAAGCGUGGGUAGCAAACAGGAUUAGAUACCCUGGUAGUCCACGCUGUAAACGAUGGAUGCUAGGUG
rnacentral:rRNA from 1 species